GUUUCCGUAGUGUAGUGGUUAUCACGAUCACCUAACGAGUGAAAGGUCCCUGGUUCAAAACCCGGUGGAAACA
rnacentral:tRNA from 1 species